rnacentral:lncRNA from 1 species
GAUACUAUUAGCGUGUUUUAAUUCCUGAAAAAAAAUUUAAGCAACCCACGGACCCCCCAUAGGCGCAGUAAACAGUUUAGUUUUUUAGGUGUCAAAAUCGAGUAAGAAUUCAUCACCAUAUUCCCUAUCAUAGAAUUAAAGUCUAAAUAAAUAAUAAUAUGGUAUUUGUAUGAAUUAAAUGAAUGUGCAUAAUUAAUUACUGAUUGCUAAUAGAGCCCAAACUGAAAAUCAUUUUUUGUUAAUCUCUGUUGAAGUAUUUUACAGUCUAAAAGCAUGAUAGUACCUUAUUGAUUUAUUUUAUGAUUUGAAUGUAUGAAUUGAUGCCUUACAUGAUUACUGUUGAUUGAAAAAUUGAGAUAUGCUUGUAUUCCCUGAUGCAUAUUUAUUUGAUUGUGUGAUUAUGGUUGAUUUGGAAAAUAGAGACUAAAGGAAAACGGAAAAGUUGUGUGAUUAAAUAAACAGAUGGAAUGACAGUCUUACUGGAUAUCCUGGGAGAUGGUGGACGAACCGAGUACAUAGGGAACCCUACUGUGAAUGUUGUUUUAGACCGGACGGGGUAUGGAGACUUGAUAAUUUAGCGCUCAUACCGGAUGGGGUAUGGGGACGGCCCGCUUCACCCUCGUACCGGACGGAGUAUUGAGAUUUGAUAAUUUAGCUCUUAUACCGAAGAGGAUAUGGAGACGGCCCGUAAUUGAGAUUGUUAAAGCAAAGGGGUCACGUGUAGCAGGGACAUCCUUAUGAACCCCCAUAGAUACUAGUAGGCUGGUAAAAAUGUGAUAGUUAUUGUUUGAUUUAUUUGACGAUGUGUAUAGAUUUAUGAUAUGUGCUAUGUUGCUGAUCUUAUAUUAAAUUAUGAUCCGUAUGAUAUUAUUUUCUGCAUAGGUUAUUUUCAUAAAUUCCACUACAGUAAGUGAAUAGUAAAUGGUUUUAUGAUUGAUAAAUGAGUUUGCUAAAUUUAGUACUUUAUUAGUUAUUUUAUUUUUAUACCCACCUUUAUUUCUGUGUCGGUGAUAUAGUGUGAUAUCCUUACUGGACUAGUGUA